rnacentral:rRNA from 1 species
UACGUAGGGGGCAAGCGUUGUCCGGAUUUAUUGGGCGUAAAGCGCGUGUAGGCGGCCAGGUAGGUCGGUUGUGAAAAUUGGAGGCUCAACCUCCAGACGUCGAUCGAAACCAUCUGGCUAGAGUCCGGAAGAGGAGAAUGGAAUCCUGGUGUAGCGGUGAAAUGCGCAGAUAUCAGGAAGAACACCGGAUGGCGAAGGCAGUUCU